UGGACCUUUGACCAUAGCCCAAUUUGUUUGGAAACUAAUCCUUUUAUAUGGGGGCCGACUCCUUUUAGGUUUGAGAAUAUGUGAUUGCUCCAUCCUGAGUUUAAAGAGAAGUUUAGAGAUUGGUGGCAAGAGUGUACGGUUGAAGGUUGGGAAGGUCACAAGUUUAUGAGGAAACUAAAGUUUAUUAAAUCAAAGUUGAAAGAGUGGAAUACAAUGGUCUUUGGAGAUUUAAGAGAGAGGAAAAAGCAUAUUCUUACGGACUUAGGCAGAAUUGAUCGAAUUGAACAAGAAGGGAAUUUAAAUCUAGAUCUGGUUUCGGAAAGGACCUUAAGAAGGAAGGAGUUAGAGGAUUUGUUAUUGAAGGAAGAGGUACAAUGGAGACAAAAAUCUAGGGUUAAGUGGAUUAAAAAAAGGGAUUGCAACUCUAAGUUUUUUCACAGAGUGGCCACUGGAAGAAGAAGCAGGAAGUUCAAAAAGUCUCUGAUUUCUGAGAGAGGGGAGACUUUAAAUAACAUUGAGGUUAUUUCUGAGGAGAUUGUAAAUUUCUUUGGGAAUCUCUAUUCCAAACCCGAAGGUGAUUCUUGGAAGAUUGAAGGGAUUGAUUGGGCCCCUAUUUCUGAAGAGAGUGCAAUUUGGUUGGAUAGACCGUUUUCGGAAGAGGAGGUUCGAAUGGCAGUUUUCCAAUUGAAUAAGGAAAAGGCCCCUGGCCCUGAUGGCUUUACUAUAGCAGUUUAUCAAGAGUGUUGGGAUGUGAUAAAAGAGGAUCUUAUGAGGGUGUUUUUUGAGUUCCACACUAAAGGGGUAAUAAAUCAAAGUACAAAUGCGACAUUCAUUGCUAUGGUGCCUAAGAAAAGCCAAACUUUUAAAAUCUCAGAUUAUAGACCUAUUAGUUUGGUUACAAGUUUAUAUAAGAUAAUUGCUAAGGUCUUAUCAGGGCGUUUACGCAAAGUUCUACAUGAAACAAUCUUUGGCUCUCAAGGAGCCUUUAUGGAAGGGAGACAAAUAUUGGAUGCUGUAUUGAUAGCCAAUGAAGUGGUGGAUGAGAAAAGAAGGUCAGGAGAGGAAGGGGUAGUCUUCAAAAUUGAUUUUGAGAAGGCCUAUGAUCAUGUGGAUUGGGGCUUUUUAGAUCAUGUGCUUCAAAGGAAGGGGUUCAGCCAGAAAUGGAGAUCUUGGAUGAGGGGCUGUUUAUCUUCUUCUAGUUUUGCUAUCCUAGUUAAUGGGAAUGCAAAGGGUUGGGUUAAGGCCUCUAGAGGUUUGAGACAGGGAGAUCCUCUUUCUCCUUUCCUUUUUACUCUAGUAGCAGAUGUUCUAAGUAGGUUGAUGAUUAGAGCUGAGGAAACUGGGAUAACUGAGGGUUUCCUUGUGGGGAGGGAUAGGACUAGAGUGUCCUUGUUACAGUUUGCUGAUGAUACCAUAUUUUUCUCUAAAGCCUCUUUGGACCUUCUUCAAAACCUUAAGAUUAUCCUUUUGGUUUUUGGGCAAGUAUCUGGUUUAAAAAUCAACUUAGAAAAAAGCACCAUUUCAAAUAUUAACACUAGGCAGGAGGUGUUGUCUAGUUUGGCUUUGGUUUUGGAGUGCAGAGUGUCAGAGUGGCCUUUGUCCUAUUUAGGCCUUCCUUUGAGAGGGAACCCAAAGACAAUAGGAUUUUGGGAUCCAGUGGUUGAGAGAAUUUCGAGGAGGCUGGAUGGAUGGAAAAAGGCCUAUUUGUCUUUAGGAGGGAGGAUUACUUUAAUUCAGUUUUGUCUGUCUCACAUCCCUAGCUACUUCCUCUCCCUCUUCAAAAUCCCUGUAUCUAUAGCUUCAAAGAUUGAGAAGAUGCAAAGGGAUUUUCUUUGGUCUAGGGUCGGGGAAGGGAAGAGAGAUCACCUAAUCAGAUGGGAGGUUGUUAGUAGACCAAGGGAUAUGGGAGGUUUGGGCUUUGGGAAGACUUCUAUGAGAAAUAGUGCCCUCUUAGGGAAAUGGCUUUGGAGGUUCCCUAGAGAAAGGAGCGGUCUUUGGCAUAAGGUUAUUGCGAGUAUAUAUGGGACACAUCCUAAUGGAUGGGACGCCAACAUGGUGGUUAGAUGGUCUCACAGAUGUCCUUGGAAGGCUAUUGCUCAAGUUUUCCAAGAGUUCUCCCCUUUUGUCCGCCUAGUGGUGGGCAAUGGGGAGAGAAUUCGGUUUUGGGAAGAUCUUUGGUGGGGAAACCAAACUUUGUGUUCUCAAUUUUCUGAUCUCUACAGAGUUAUUUUUGUGAAAAACCUUACUGUCUCAAAUGUCCUUGGCAAUUCCUUACCAUUGUCUUGGAAUUUUAACUUUCGUCGCAAUCUAACGAAUUCAGAAAUUGAUCUCCUUCAGAGAUUAAUGUCCUCCCUUCAUUCUGUGCUUCUUUCCCCUUCUUCAUCAGACUCAAGAGCGUGGUCUUUGUCUUCGUCAGGCUCGUUUUCAGUGAAAUCUUUUUUCUAUGCCUUGUCAAAAGUUUCAAAUCCUUUAAUGUUCCUUCCGGCCAAGUUUUUAUGGAGCUCAAAAGUCCCUUCAAAGGUUAAGGCCCUCGCUUGGUUAGUAGCACAUGGUAAGGUAAACACUAAUGACAAGUUGCAAUUGAGAAGACCCUACAAAGCCCUCUGUCCUCAAUGGUGCAUUCUUUGCAAAGGAAAUGGAGAGUCGAUUGACCACCUUUUUCUUCAUUGUCCCGUUACCAUUGGACUUUGGCACAGGUUGUUCAAUCUAGUAGGUGUGAUUUGGGUCCCUCCAAGGAGCAUUGAGGACAUGUUGGUUAUUUCUUUUAAAGGCUUGGGGAACUCAUUAAGAGGCAAGACACUUUGGCAAAUUGCUUGCCUUACUUUGAUUUGGAUGGUGUGGCAAGAAAGGAAUAAUAGAAUCUUUGAGGAUAAAAGGAGAACGGAAGAGAUGGUUUGGGAUUUGAUCCGGUUUUAUUCUUCUCUAUGGGCUUCUUGUACUGAAGCUUUUAGAGGAGUUCCUCUAAGCAUUCUACAACUCAAUUGGAUUGGGGUUUGCGUUUCAAGUGUUUGAAGAUUGUUGGGGUUUCUUUUGUUUUUAGAGUUCUUUUGUUAGGUGUUUUUCCUUGGUUCUUGUGUAGGAAGGACCUCUCAUCCUUCCCUUGGUUUUUUUCUCUUUCUUUUGUCUCUUUUUUCUCUCCUGUAUUUGUUCUUUUAUUAAUAUAAUCUUCUUCGUUUCUGAUCAAAAAAAAAAAAAAAAACAUAGAGGAGUGGCUGGCCUAAUGUUUUGGUCUAAGAAUGCUUAUAUUAUUUUAUCACAUUUAAUAUGUUUAAUGACUUAAAUUAAAUUAGUGGAUUUACCCAAUACCCUCUAAAUCUUCUAUUUCUAUGAUCCUAGCUUGAACCAAUUAAAGGAAACGAAAUAUUACAAUGUCUGCAUAUUUCUAAGCACAAACCAUGACGUAUUUCAGAAAAGGUUUUACAAGAUGCAACAUUUAAAAACUCGAUCAUUUGGGACUUUGACUCCUAUGUUUCAUGCUAAACUAUAAUGUUGGAAACAAGUGACUGAAAACCAGACAGUCAUCAUAUUUAACGUGGAUAGUUCUCAAAUUCAAUUACCAGCAUCAACCAAACUUCAAUUGCUUCAAACUGCACUCAAUAUUCAAUCAAUCCUGUCAAAAUUCUUAUGUUUUGUUACGAUUACAAUAAAGAAAAGAAACAUACCCAACCUCCCUACGUUCUAUUGAUCAAACUCUUAUAUGGAAGAUGAGUUCAAACUCGAGGAAAAAAAAAUGCUGAUCUAGACGUGCAUGUGCUAUUGCCCAUUGUCCUAGGCCUUCAUGCACUUACCUAAUCAACUGCAUUGGCAGCAUUAUAUACUUGGCAACUUCUCACAUGAUUUUACUCCACUUCACUUCACAUUUCCUUUCUGGAAAAAUAUAUGGUAACUUACCCAACUCCGGCACUAACAAGCUACACCUAAAAGUGUGGCUACAACAAUCUCACCAUGUGGUGCUCAUCCAACUUUAAACGAUUAAUUUUGUGUGGCCCAAUUGCCUAAAAUUGUAUUUUGCAUGUUUUCCAUUGUUCUCAUAUUCAAAUACUAUAAUAAGGAUACAUUAAUGUAAAUCUUAAAUAUUUUGCUACAUGAACAUAUAUGGAAUUUGACAAGUUCUAGGUGAAUUAGUAACCCUCAUGAGAAGCACACCAAGGUCUAUAUGCCUAGAUUUUUUAUCUUACUUUUGUUUUUUUCUUUGGUCACUUGUGUAUAAAGUAAGAAAAUAUAUGAUACUGUAUCAGUUUAAUAUACAUAGAAAUUAGAAGAAUCCAUAACGAUAUUUAUUUUUCUCAAUCUCACGAACAAGAUACGAGAAUAAGAUUAGUUGAUGGAACGAGGAGGGUAAGUCUGGAGAUCAACUGGUAGCAAGAGAAGGGAUCACUUGUUCCUUCCACCUUAUUAAAAUGCUGUAAAUCACAUGAGAGGAAUAUAUAAUUACCUAUUAAAUAGGCCUUGGACCAAAUCAGCUAAAAGAGAAAUAAGUUGGAAGUCCUUGAAGAAGUUUAUGCCAUACACAAUUACUUAAAUAGGACAAAAUAUCUGAAAUUCUCCAGGUAGACUACAAUUAUGUUGAGAACCUUACUCAAUGGCUGAUAUGUUGCAGGAGUCUGCUCAAAUUUAAGAAUAUUGUUCUCCUUACGGACAGACUCUUUACAGAGUGCUGCUAAAGCAGCUCUUCUUCUUUGCCUCUGCUUUUGCCACUGCCUUAGUUGUUCCUCAAGUGCUGCUUUAGUUUUCUCAGCCAUCUCAGCCAUGCUUACUGCCUGCUCUGCCUGAGUCCUAAACUCAGCGAUUCUGACCAUUGCAAAUUCUAACUCCUUCAGAACUUCUGCCUUCUCACUGUAGCAGAUUCUCAUUAACUUGCUUGCAGAAGCUAUUUUCCUUAAGCAGUUACAAUGGUGAAGCCAACGAUUGGAACUCAACAAGAUCUGAAGUUAGCAAAAUCUCAAUCAUGGUGCUCAUGACCAGAUGUGAACAAAUUUUGAAUUCUGAUUGAUGAGAAUGAAUUAGGUGAACGUCCACUGCCAACAGCAAGGCUAGAAGAAAUUAUUUUUGUACUUAAAGAGCUGGCCCGUCUGGUAAUUCAUCCAGAAACAGCAUCUGUUCUUCCUCUACAUCCAUACUUAAAGGGAGGCCUAGCAGAGGAGAAUCAUGACAGGCGUCCCCAUCUACUUGUUCUUUUUGCAUCCUUUUGUGAGCUAGUUAUCUCAAGGGAAGCUAGAGUAAGAGAACUAGUGCAAGUACUGCUUAGACUCAUUGCCACAGAAUUGUCACUCCAAAAAAUUGGCGUGACCAGCUGAUGCAUGGAAGGAUGCUGUUCCAAAAGACCAAGGCCAAGGCCAUGCUCACGUUUGCCAACAUUUAUUUGUUCAUAUGAGCUUUUUUCUUGUUGUCUUUUUUGGGUCUGAAUUCACAGGAAGGUUUUAGGUAAGGAAUUUUUUCACUUCCUUCAUAGAUGAACAUUUUAUUGUAAACUAGUGUGUACAUUAUAGAAAUAUAUAUACACAUAUAUGUACGUGUGUGUGUGCGCGCGUGUUUUGCAAUGAGGAGACAAGCAUUCACUACUCCCUCAUUGCCACUUUUUGAGUGGUUUAAGAGUUAAUGUAAUACAAAUUGAUUUUCUGGAAUACAACAUGUCAAUUAGAAACU